rnacentral:rRNA from 1 species
UACGUAGGGGGCAAGCGUUAUCCGGAUUUACUGGGUGUAAAGGGAGCGUAGACGGUGCGCCAAGUCUGGAGUGAAAUGCCGCAGCUUAACUGCGGAACUGCUUUGGGAACUGGCGAACUAGAGUGCGGGAGGGGUAAGCGGAAUUCCUAGUGUAGCGGUGAAAUGCGUAGAUAUUAGGAGGAACACCGGUGGCGAAGGCGGCUUACUGGACCGUAACUGACGUUGAGGCUCGAAAGCGUGGGGAGCAAACAGG